AUGUAGAAUUCUUAUGACAGCAGCAUUGCUAAUAAAUCAAAGGACGUUUCGCUCAAAGACCUCAGCAACAAGCAUGCAGAGUUUUCUCUAGUCAGAGGAUGGGAUGAACAUCACAGUCCAAGAAAUCUCCUAUUAGCGUAGGAGAAGUUGGAAAACUGUCAAAGAUAUUCCAAUGGAAAGGAGAAGUUGAGAAAGGACUACCAAACUGGAGUGCAGAUGUGUUGAUUGAUGCUUUAAGGGUUUAGAGUGCUAGUUGUUCUCAUGUGUUUCUUCCAUUUUUAUGUAUUAUAUCGUGAUUUUACAUGUCAAACAUGAUAUUAUCGUAGGAGAGAAGGAAAUCGAGAUUAGAAAUCAAAUAGGGAGGCUUUUACAUGCCUUAUUUAUGGUUUUUUUAAUAAAAAUGUUUAUGUUUAGGAAAACCAUAAAGCAUAACACGCUCACCAUCUCCCCUCAGCAGCUCACUUUCUUCUCUCUUCACUCUUUUUUUUCCUUAAAUAAAACCAAAUAAAAUCACCCAAUAGCUCGACUCUAAGCAUGGAUUAACAGAGGAAACGGAGUUACCUUCGGCGUUGAAAAGUUUCUAGUCUCUAGUGAGCAACGAUUAUGUUCCUUCGACUCUUUGAAGGACUCUUCAACUCCGGUGGAACCAACGACGAUCUUAAAUGGAUUCGAACCCAGAUGAAGUUUUGACCAUCUAUCAGAGCAAAAAAGAAUGAAUGGAUCUUGUAGGAUUCCCAAGAAAUUCUUCUAUUGCUUUCGGAAGCAGAUGAUUAUUCAUACGCUUCUCAAGUUCCAUGAAUAGUCGGGACAUUGAGGAAUAUCCAUAAAGGCAUUUAGGGAAUCGGUCUGAUUCUAUCUCCGUUAGUUCUGUUUGAAGAAAGGAAGGAUCCCAAAGAAUCGAUCUUUCUUUUCGUUGUUGAAUCUCUCUUUGAUUGAUCAAUAUGUGAUAUUCUGAAUCCUCAUUACUAAUGGAAUCGAAACGAUCUCUGGAUUGAUCAGAAGAUCCUUUCAAUUGGCUAGAAUCUGUUACUUGAAC